GCAAGGCCCUCCCCUCAGCUCUGCAUAGCAGUGUUCGUGGCUUUGCCCCCUGAAGGCGCCAGCUGUCCCUGGUCAGCCCCCAGAAGCCAACAGGAGGCCAGGGAGGGCCGGGCAGGUGAGUGGCUGCUGGUACAGGUGGCUGUUGUUCUAGUUAACUGAGGGGCGGGGAGAAAGCAGCUUAUAAAAAGGCAGGUUGCCGCCGGUCUCUGGUGGAGGGUGGCUGUGAGCUUUGACAGGGGGGUGGUGGGGUUGCUGUGUGUUUUCAACCUGGCAAGUUCGGUGCGCGCGCGCUCUCUCUCUCUCUAGAUUCCUUCCUCUUGAGAAAACUCCUGUUUUCUGCUUCUCUCUCUUGCUUUCACCCCGCUAGAGCCUAAAGAGGCCGUAGCCAACAAAAGUCUGCUUUAGCGCAUCUCCACCUGCACAUCUGAGGCCUCCUCUUUACGUAAAGGGCCCUCCUUUGCUUUGAGCCCUUUCCCCCUCUGAAGAGGAAGCCGGGAGCAGGUCUUUGGUUCAGAGUGCCAAGGGGAGGCUCUGCUGCUUUUCUCCAACAGAACGGGGCAAGAAGGAACCGGCUGGCCCCUCGUGGCCCAACCUCGGGGGGAACGAUAGGGUAGGCUUUCAAGGGCAGCACCCCUACUCCCUCACGAUGAAAAUCCACGUUGAUAGGCGAACCAUAGGCAGGGCCCCACAAGGCCUCUGAAUCAGGCAUGGAGGAUCCUGGGAGCCUGGGGCCUAUGUGACAGCUGUGUCGGGCUCUCCGUGCCCAUCUUCCUUGAGCUUGGUCGUUAGCUGGGUCAGAACAGAGCCAGCAACGUGAGACGUCAAGUAGAUGAACCUGAGCUCCUACCCAGCGAGCUGCAGGCUUUCCUACGUUCCGAUCGCUCUCUCCAGGGCAACAGGACUGGCCGCUCUGAGCAGCAGGCACUGGCUCUAGACGCGGCUUUAUUAGUUCCUGCUGUGGUCCUGGGGGGGUCUAGAUGGCUGCUCAGAUCUGAAUUCAUGACGGUCGAGAACUCCUGACCCCUAUCAGGUGUUGAAUCCACACGGCACUAGAGUAAGGUGCUCAGCAGAACCAAAACGUGCGAGGAUCUUGCCACAAGCUUUGCCUGAGACUCAGGAUGUCAGUCCUUUUUCUGGGCAGUGACUAAAACAGGCUGUUUUCCUUAGACCUCUUCUGAUCAUCCCCUCAGACUGCGUUGUCCUGGAAUGAGCAGCAAAAGGGGCCGCUACUUUGCCCUCCCUAGAAAACCUUAGGGCCACCUCUCCCUAACCUGCGAAGUAUGAGGACUUCUACCUCCAGUCACCGAAGUGUCGUCUGGGUACCACAUUGUCAGCAAAGAGAUGCAGACUGUAGGCUUUCUUGUAAAACUUAAGACCGUUACUGCAUUAAGACCUUGGAGCUAAAAUGAACCAAAACCUCUUCCUUUACCUGGCAGGGGUCCGAUGUUCGUUGCCAAUCCUUCUCUGAUCAGGAUUCACCUUCCCAGGAGAAAGUGGCCCUGAUCCUAGUUCUUGCCUUUCCUGGUGACCGACUUCCACACUUCCUCUCCCCUGAAGGACACUUUACCCCUACCUUGGAAGGGAGGAAAAGUCUUGUUUGGGCUUUCUCAAAGCACCCCAACUAGUCCCUGUUGGGGAAAAGAAUUUAGGCCCAGUUCUUUCCAAUUCACUGGCUCUGAUUUUAUGAUGGGAGCCACGUGAACCUAGUUGUAACCGGACUCCUUCCUACUCCUGUCAACCUGAGCUUUCUUGAUCUGAUGCUACUGCCCAAACUUGUAAAACUGGGAAUAGGAAAUAGCUUCUGAGGCUUUCACAGACCCCAUCUCAACGUGGAUUGUGCCCAGAGUCCGGGGACCCCAGCUGUGCCACUUCCGUGGGUCUAGGGGUAGCAUCUGGUUGGAAACGGGGUGCUAACUAGAUCGUGAGGCAGCCCCCGACACGGCCACAAAUGGCCAGCAGGUGCAGCUUACGCCAAGUACAGGUGAUGCCAGUGCUCCUCGUGGGGAACUUGGAAACGCAGAGCACUUGAAAACUAAGCCCACAGCUCAGAGUGUUGCCUAGCUUUUGCCGCCCUGCUAUAAAUACGGUGCAGAAAUCCUGCCCUCUCCUAAGAGCUUAGAGGAAGGUUCUACGGAGCCUCAUACCCUGGUCACAGCCUGGCCUUCGGUCUCCAAGCUGUCAUUCCUUCGUGAGCUGUCACUCUCGAGAAAUGUUGCCUUUAGCACUUUGGUGGUCAAAACCAUCCUUCCCAAACAGUACAAGGGCCUGGGUGGGUGGGUGACCACUUUGAAUCCUCUACAAAGGAACAGUGUAAGGACUGCUGCAAAGCUGAGCCUGCGUGCCUUUGACGUAUGGUGCUGAUGUGACCUUAGGAAACGUGCAGUAGGUGGUAGCUGAGCUGGUCUUCCCGCAUCUUCUACGUUCUCCGUGUCACACCCUCCACUCCGGCCGCAAUCAAAUGUACGUGAAGUUGAACAUGUUGAGGCUGAACGUCAAAAUAGGUGGUGUGCAGCGGGGAGGUUAACUUUGCUGAUUUGUGCAAUGUCCCAUGAUACUUGUACUAGGGCCAUUUAGAUGCCAUCCCGUGAGGGGCCAGUGGCCCUUGUGCUGAACCUUAAGCUCUAGGUGCCUGGUGAACAGACUCCUCUGCCUCCAGGGGUGGUGAAGCUUGUAAUCCUAGAUUAAAUGUCCGUGUAUACAGGCGUUCCCCAGAGAUCUUGUGGGAUCUUCUAGGCUACCACAAUAAAGCCGCGAAAUGAACUUCUUGGCUUCCAAGUACACAUGAAAGUUCUACUCUAUACUGUGGUCUAUGAAGUGUGAUAACCUGGUCCUAAAACACUUGAACUAAAUAUUGCUAGGACGAACGGUAACCAUUUGCGCUCUCAGCGAGUCUGGCUUUCUGUUGGUGGAGGGUCUGCCCUGAUGCUGAUGGCUGCUGACAGAUCCGGGUGGUGGCCGCUGAAGGCUGCGGUGACUGGCAAUUUCUUAAGACCGCGAUGAAGUUUGCCACCUCGACUGACCCUUCCUUUCACAAGUGACUUCUCUGUAGCAUGUGAUGCUGUUUGACAUCAUUUUGCCCACAGAACUUCUUUGAAAACUGGGGUCCUUUCAAGCCCUGCCACCUUACCAACGAGGGCUCCAGAAUAUUCUAAAUCCUGUCCUUCCAACAAUCUCCACCGCAUCCUCACCAGGAGAAGCUUCCGUCUCCAGGAAGCAUGUUCUCUGCUCCUCCCCGAGAAGCACCUCCUCCUUCACUAGCCUUCUCCUGAGAGGACAGGAGUUCAGUCCCGUCUUCAGGCUCCACUUCUGAUUCUGGUUUUCCUGCUGUUUCCACCACAUUCACAGGGCGUCCUCUGCUGCUGCCCUGAGCCCCUCAAAGUCCUCUGCGAGGGCUGAAUCCACUUCUUCCAAACUGCUGUUUAGUGUUAACACUGCAACCUCUUCCCAUGACAUCCUAGAUGUUGUUCGUGGCCUAGAACAGUGAAUCCUUCCCAGAAGGUUUUCAACUUUGCCCAGAUCCACCCAAGGACUCCUGUCUAUGGAAGCUAUAUCCUUCCAGAAUGUACUUCCUAAGUAACAAGACUCACAACUCAAAAGUUACCCCCGAUCUGUGGGCUAUGGAAUGAAUGUUGUGUUAGCAAACAUGAACACCUUAAUCUUGCUGUGAGGCUCCUUCAGACCUCUUGGGUGAGCAGGUACUAGACCGAGAGCAGUAAAACGAAUCUCUAGCAGUUCUCAACAGUAAGCCUGAAGUAUUCUGUUGAACCAUGUCGUAAGCACUGUCAGGCUUUGUUUGUGUUGAUAGAGCACAGGCAGAGUAGACCUAGCAUCCUUCCUAGGGGCCUUAGGAUUUCAGCAUGGCCAAUGAGCAUUAUUUGGCCUUCUCUUAAUGUCAGGAGCAGCGUUAGCCCCUAACAAGAGAGUCAGUCUGUCCUCCAAAUUCCUGGCUUCAAACUUCAAUCUAUAGAUGUCCUAGAUGACUGCCUCUUACAAACAUAAGGUGGUUCUUGCUAUAGUGAAAAUCUUACGGAUUAGCUAAAUCUUACAGGUAACUUGCUGUAUCACUUUGUACUUCUGUUAUGGAGAUCACUUCUUGAACCUGAAGAACCAACCUGUCAGCCUCAAACUUCAGCUCUCCACCUCCCUUGGCCCUUACAGAAUUGGGAAGUUAGGGCCUUGCUCUGGACUAAACUUUGGCUUGAGGAAACGUUAGGGCUGCCUUGACCUUCCAUCUCAAAUACUAAGGCUUUCUUCAUAUCUGCAAUCGGGUUGCCUGGCAUUCUUAUUCCUGUACUUACUGGAGAAGCCCUUUUAAUUUCCUUUGGGAACUUUUUCCUUCGUGUUCACAACUUGGGUCACUGGCCAAAGAUGAGCUUUUGGCCUGUCAGCUUUCAAUGUGCCUUCCUCACCAAGUUUUUUGACUUUGCGUUCAAGUGGAAAGAGUCCCAUCUCCCUUGGAGACCACUGUAGGCUACUAAUUGGUCUAAUCUCCGUAUGGUCUCACCAAGGCUUGAAGAGAAGGGGAGAGACCAGAGUGGCGUGUCAGUGGAAUAGUCUGAACACUGCCAUUAGUUAAGUUUGUGGUCUUAUGGUCAUGGUCCUGGAUCGUGGUGCCCUGAAACAAUUAAAAAUCACCACAUCAAAGAUCACGGAUCCCCGAGCAACAUCACCAAUAGAAAAGUCUUGAAAUACUGUGAAUUCCCAAAAUGUACUGCAGAGAGCAAGUAGAUAGGUGAAAAAUCACACCGAUAGACUUGCUCUGUGAAAGGUUGCCACAAACUUUAAUUGGUGUUUAAAAGUGCAAGCACUCGAGGUAGGUCUGUAGAAGAUCAAAUGGAGAGCAGUUUCUGUAGCUGUCCUUCCCAACAGGGAAGAGAACUUUUCAAAAUACUUGCACAUUAGACCUUUGGUCAGGUCAGUAAGAAUACUCUGAGCAUCCCAACUGAGGGCUGUCCAGAGUCUUGAGUGCUAGACCAGAGCUCACAGGUACAUGGCUUUGCUGAGAAAAGGGAGCCACUAGCCUCUGCCCUGAACUGUGCUUGUUUUGGGGAAUCCUCAUUGCUUUCAAGAUAAGAAUCCAUUCUAUCAGGCUCCAGGGUGACCACUGUAGCUAGACUUUGCUCCUGGUUGAAGCCCUGAAGGCCCCGAGGUGGAAUCCAAAUAGGCACGAAGUAGACUGUACUGAGCAAGUUGGCACUUAAGGCAGCCCCCUUAGAUGUGGUUCUUCUCACCCCACCCCCAUAGGUUUGGGUCUGCCUGAAACAUUCAGGCUCCAUGAUUCCCGCUCUCCUCUUACCCAUGGUUGGUCUCCUCCUGAGGUGGUUUUAAGACCUUCAUGGACCCCUAGGAACUGUGUUCCUUUGCCUCUAUGGUUCUGGGCUUGACUACAGCCUAGUAGCUAAUAAGAACUUCAUAAAGGGAAAGUUCUUACUGAUUCAAGUGGCAAAAACUAGCAAAGGUUGGUCCAAAUAUCACCAAAGGAUAUCUGGACCUGGGCUGGGAUCAAGGGGUGGCAAGAAAUACAAAGAACGGUUGGCUGCAGAAAGGCUAACAUCUGCUGGCCUGGACUAGUCCUGUAAGAAAGGAGCCCCGUCGGAGGGCAAGGGCCUAUGGAAAAGCCUCCAGAUAGGAGCAGCUUUGUUGUUCUGAUGCAUGUGAUGUUGGAAGUUGGCAACAGUUUUAGGCAAAGGACACUGAACUUGGAGCUCUACAGGGUUUGCCCUGGUCUAUCCUAAACUCUUCAAGCUAUGGAAGUUGGGAGGCUGUACAUCACAUGCGACCAGAUCCUACCAUGGCUCUUGAUCCUUGUCUAAUGAGGUUGACUAUAGUUAGGGAUACAGGCUAAGUCAGGCUGUCUUCCACAUCAAAAUCCCCUCGGGAGAAGGUGGGGGGGGGGGACACUCCUAUAUUCCUGGUCUGAGAAUUCAUGUUCUCCUAAUGUAGCUUCUUACCACAGUUGUGUUUAUCGUGCACAAGUGCUAACGAAACUGAACUUGAGGCUAACUGCACCUUGGUGACCAGCAUGAGUGGCAGGUAAACCACUGCUUGCUUGAAGUAAACAAAACUACCAGGAGCUCUGGGUCCCAAGUAUCCACAAUCUGAAAGCAACCACAGCCAGAGCAUUUUCUCUGCUACCAGGGCCCCUGGAUCUGACUCCAUAGCUGGCCUUCCUACUACAGCACAAAGGCUUGAUGUAUCUGGGGACAAUUGGACAAACCUGGCCCCAUGCAAUAUCCGUACCAGCUGGGCUUCAGAAGAUACUCUGAAACCUACACCUACUUAGGUAGAAGGUUCCUAUGGGCAUUCACUUUGGGUCCCAGCUGACCUGGCAUCUGUCAAAGUAUAUUCGUGUCCCUCUACUGCAAAUGGAACAUAUCUCCCUCCUCCCCUACCUCUUAAGAGUUGAGAACCAGGUCUUAAUAUGAAACAGACCAGAACUUUGGAGGGAUUAUCCUCCCUAUAGGCAACCUGUCUGAAGUGAUGGUUUGGGGUAAAACCGGGGCAGAACAAGGCUCUUGCCUCAUGCCCUAAGAGCACUGUGUGCUCUUCCCUGUGAAGAGGUCUAUACACCCCUAUACACUUGGGCUUCACUAUCUUCCAGAGGUGAAAUCUGGCGAAGUCUGCUAUGUACUUCUGGUCCUCCAGACUCUGAGGUCUCAGGGCAUGGGGUUCUGAAUGGUUCAGGGCAGUGGAGGGUGCAUGAUUUCUACUCUAGGGACCCAAACAAAUCAUGGCUUUUUUUUUUUCCUUUUGAGUAGGUUUCUGAAUUCUUCCUCAGCCUCAAGAGAACUUGGGGGCAGGAAACCAGAGGUUUACUGGGGUGGCCUUUCUGUACUAGUGUGCCUAGGGAAAUCUGUCCAGUGUUGCUACUAUGACUGCUGACUAUACAGGUCACCAUGAGUCUGGAGGGCUAGGUGCAGGAAGGUUCCCAAAGGGUGGCCUUCUGGGUUGGAUGAACACUUCUCCCUUGGUUUUCUACCUGGGAGUUCCAGGAAUCCUGCCAGGGCACACUAUCUGUUUGACCAAUAUCUCAGUGGUGGUUCUGGUUCCUCGAAGGGACUUCUCAGUCACAGAAGGCACAAUGGGGGUCUGUCCUUCAUUGGGGGUCUCAGUCCUAGAGAAGUGGAUCUUUCAUUCUCCAGGAUUCUGCCCACUCCACCAUCUUCUAGACCCUCUACAACUCCUCCUAUACCUGGAUGUCCUCCUCAAACCAGGGUCUCUGUCCUGAAAACCAUCCCCCCACUAAUACUUCUGAGUUGGCAUGUUGGUAAGAUCUUCCCAAUUUCUAGGAUCUGAAUGUGCCCAACAGACUGCAACUUCUCUACCAUGAAGGUUUGGGCUGAGGGGGCUCUGGCUCAUGAGUCUCUAUUUUGUUCAUGUCUCCUUUAGAAGCUGUUCUUUGGCUGGUCCCCAUUGCUCCUGCUCUGGGUUCUGUCUUGAGACUUCAUGGCUUUGACUAUCAGCUCUGUGCCUGUUCCACCCCCUAUCCCUGCUCUGCUCCCCUCUAAUGGAGCUUUUCCGAGUUGCCUCCUAGCAUAUUCAAACACCUAUGGGCUGUCCCUACAGGGGUCUCCUAGGUGCCCCGAACACGAGUUGGUCUUGGUGGACUUGACCAUCUCCCCUAAACUAGCUACACCUGCAAAUUCCUCCUCCUCUUCUGAUACCAUUUGGAGGGGAGCAUAAAAUAACACUUUCUCAGCUUCCAGAUAACCUUGCACAGAUGGUUCUCUUGCAGUCUCUGGGAUUUAAGCAGCUAUCCUGAAGUUUAUAGUGAGAAGGGGCUGAGGGUAAGCUGGUGUUCAUGUUGGGUUACAAAUCUGGCAAUACUACCACUAACGUGACUUCUAAGUGCAGUGGCAGCUCCUAAUGGGUCCUCCACCCUUCCAUCAACAUGUCUGAUAUCCGUCUCCCUGGCUGAGGCCCUUGGUGAUGGGAUCAGCAGUAAGUUGAGGAAAAGGAGGCCCAUAUAUAAACAUAAGCCCGUGGUGACUUGUAUCAGAUGAACAAUCUUGGCAAAUGAUACUCUCGUGAUCCUGAUCUGCAAGGCUGGCAAUCCUUGACCGGCUAGCUUUUUGGCUAGAACACAUACUAUUGAAAGCUCGGUGCCCACAAAAGCACCUAAAAACUGAAAACUUAGACUGGAUUAGAACUCGGGGUUUCUGGUGCUGGGAAAGAACGACCUUGGCAUCUAUAGCUAUGAAGCUUCCCAUGUACAGAAUGGCUGCCAGCAGUGCCCCUUCUCCAGUGGUACCCAGAAGUUCUGUGAUGGAUUUCCCUUGAAUGCUGAUGUCACUACUGAGACUUCGAAUUGUCCUCAUUCCUACAAAAAGUUCCCAAUGUUUCUAACUUCAAGUGACUAUCAGGUGACCAAUGGCUAAUGCUGCUAGUAAAAAUAGGUAGUUUCUGUAGAACUGUUGCUACAGAAUGUAGCAAUGUCUGGAUGACUUAGUCUGCCAUGCUUUAUGUACCCAGUACAUACAAAGGCUGGGGAUAACUUGGUGGCCACCUGCCAUGAGACUGGGAACUCCUCAAGGAGGAAGUUGACCUGGAGCAGCACGUAAGGGCAGAGCCUUUCAGUUCUGGGUCUCACCCAGUUGAAUGGAUUGUGCGGAGCUGAUCUGGCACUACACCUGAUCAAAACUACAGAUGUUGGCAGUAGUCUGUAUGACCCAGACAUCAAGGCAAUUCUGGCUCAGGACCCUUGUCUAACACUCGCUCUAGAAAGCCCUCUACUGAAGUGACCAAUAAAAGUUGAAUAAGACUUGUUUAGAAAAUGCUGUGAGGCCAGUCCUGUUAAAGUCUUAUAGGUCCUUCCAGAUGCCCAGUUCUGUGAAUAUAGUCUGGGGCCAGACUAGGUCUCUCCCCCCCCCCCCACCCCCCCUUUUUUUUAAACCUUAAGAGCAGUUCUAAGCUCACAAAAGAUGAGCAGGAACUAGAGGGACUUCUCAUAUCUGCUUCCUGCCUCACAUAUAUGCAUAGCCUCCCUCACUGAAUAUCUGCUACCAGGUGGUACACUUGUCAGUGAACCUACACUGACCCAUCAUCUCACACAAAGCUCUUAGUUGAUAUUGGGCUUAUUCUUUGUGUACACUUCAAUAGACAUUGUACAAAUGUGUGGCCCAUAUCCACCAUCACAGUAUCCUAUGGAAAAUUUUCCUGCCCUAAUAAAACUCUGGAUGAAAUGGUUUGUGCAUAGCAAACCUAAUAUGCUAUGGACUUGAAGAUCCUUCUCUGAGUUCAUUAGUGUGUGACCAGACUUUGGUCCAUAUAGACCUGCCACAGGCCUCCUCCAUACUGUUAUCCAUGGGACGUAGAAGAAGCUCAAAGGCUUCAAGUGCAUAAGGCAGGUGGUAAGGAAGUGUGUGCCAAAGACCAAACUGAUCUUUGGGGUCUGUGCUAGAGGAAGGAGAUGAAAUGUAAGCACAGUGCUGAACAGAAUGGUGGACAGGACCUAGGUCUUGCAUGGACUGGGAGCAGGGAUGAGUGCAAUCUGCUGACUGUAACAGGGACAUGCAGCGUGGGUAGCAUUUUUCCAUCUUCAGAGCUCCAGCAGACCUUGAGGAUGGAACAAGUUGAAGUCCCCUCCUGCAGGGCCUACUAACUACCAGACCCCCGUGAGAAAGCAGGCUCACCAGGUCUGAUGAGACGGGUAGAACACAUUAUUGUCCUUCCUCAGGGCAGUGUGGGUGCUGAAGCAAACAAAAACAAGGUCCCAUCAAUGUGACUGGCCAGCUAUGUGGUCACAUAAGAUGUCUUUUCUUUCAAGUAGAGAUAACUUAGGCUCACAAUAGUUCCAAAGAACACUACUAAGUUUCAGCAAACAAGUAGCCAGAGAAUAAACCACUGUUCCCAGGAGACUGGUCAAGGCUUCCUUCAAGCUGAUGAAACAAAUGUGUAGUGCUAAGGAGUCCUAUGUGAAAUAUAGCAGCUCUGGAAGCCUUAAGAAUUUGACUUCACUUGCUUGAGGCCAGCCCAGCCAAGGGUGCUUCCAUAGUGACUAGCAGGUACACAGGGAAAUCUGGGUCUCCAACCAUGUUCUCUAGGACCCUGUCACAAGGACUCCAAAUGCUGGAAUUGAGCAGAAACAGUGAGGCAGACUUGUAAAGUUUGGACUGUCUGAAUUUGCCGGUAUGACCUUCUGUCCUUUUCAAUGUUCCCCCCAGUUCUAAUCUAUUCCAUUCGUGAAAUGUUACAGUGAAUGUAUGUGUGAAAACCAGGGCCUGGAAGGUUGGAGUACAUUACCAACAAAUGAGAUGUCUUCCUUGUGCCUCCUCUGAUCAUUCUCAAGGGCAAAGCUAAUCAACGGUGAUAGAAGUAGAAAAACAAGUAGUCUUGAACUUCACAUACUAGGAUUCCAUUUCUAUAUGCUCGUUUUCCACACUUGUCUGAGACUUAUGCAUGCUGUACGUAGCAGUAGCUCCUUUCUACUGUACACGAUUUCCUUAUAGGAAUAUACUCUGCCUUAUCCACUGUCAUACACAGGGGGCACCAUUAAUUUUUAGCCAUCCCCAAGCUGUCAUGUUGGAUCUAGAACUGGUACACAUGCAUACCAGUCCUAGGCUGGGUCCUAGGCUUUAUGUGCUUGGCUUUGGGAUGGGGAUUGGGGCAGGGUGGGGGCACACCAGAACAGUCUUCCAAAAGGUAACUGAUUUUACACCAUUGCUAGAGCAACUGAAAUGCUCCUAUAUGUACUUGCUAGGGCUUAUAGAAUUCCUGCCUGGUGACUCAGCAGUGGUAUGUGUAGUAUCUUUAACUACUGAGGUUGUGUCCUAGUUACUUCUCCUGCUUGGGUAUCUAAAAUAUGCAAGGUGUUUUCAACGUGACCCACAACACUUCGUGGCAAUGAUGGGAAGAACUUCCAAGUCCCGUGGGCCCUUCACUAGGAUGUGCAUGUAUAGUCUCUGAAAGCUCCAGUGGCCAACUAGGGCCCUUUAGACUUCUGGGGUAGUUGAGUGUACUUAGGACACUAGUGUUUAACUGAACUAGCUAUAGUGAGUCGACUGGGGGGGGGGGGGGUCUCUGGUUCCUUUCAAAAUACAAAUAUAGGUGGAGUGCUUCUUACAUAAACCUAAGAAAUCGGGGGUUCCAAGAUACUCAAAAGAAAACCAGGCCACCCCUCCUUUCCAGGUCUUCUGAAGAUGGAGGUGAAUGUCAAGGGCAUAAGUCAUUGUAACCCUGUUACUCCUGGCUAAUGACUGUCACUGCUUCAAUAUAGAACAAGGCAAGGGCAAGCAUUCUUCCAUCUCUUCCAUAGUCUGAAAUAAGGGUAUUCACAGACUGAAAUAAAACUCCCUGGUGAUGUCUUAACCUAGACUGGAAAAUGAGGUUGCUAUGUGACCUCUUACUGCUGAAGGAAUCUGAACAGAAGGCAUCAUGCCUUCUAUCUCCUGAGCAGGACUCUGCUCCCCAGAGUGUAACACGUGGGCAGGGAAAAUACGUUAGUGGCUCUCUGGAUACCUGGAGCUACAUGUAGUUUAAGAAAACCAUGGUAGAGCACUGCAGAAGUCCACUUCUUCCACAGCCUCCUACGGAGCUUAAGGCAGCUCAGGCCUUGGAUGGCCCUGGGAAACGGGCUGAAAAUGUGCAAGGAAAGCUAUAGCUAAUAGACUUCACACUGGGUUUAUUUUCCUCUAGGACUCUGGCUCCUAGGCCUAUGGCUGGUUCAAAGAGUCUCUUAAGACUGGUGCCUACUCAGGAGUUGCCCAAUAGACCAUCCCUAGAAGAUCCCUACUUCUCAAGGCUGAACAAUUAGCUUCUCUGAAUAGCAACUCCACACCUAUUUGGUUGAUGGUUUUGGAGCUCUAGGAAGCCUGGCGAGAUAGGACCUCUUCCCAGUUCCUCUAGGAAACUGGCUUCCACCUACACAAGCAGGUUUCCGUGUGGUUCUUGGGUCUCAACCCAGCUCUGUGCACUGACGGCCACAUCUAGGUGGGUGACUUGUUGCUGUACCAGCAAAAUGUGUGCGUUAAACCAGCAAAGCUAAGUCCACCAGUGUCUCCCAUUGACUUUUCUGGCUUGUAUUUUCUCCACUUGAAUAGCAAGUGCAUGAUCGGUGGAAACCUAACCCAUUAGUAUCCUACAGAACAGAACAUUAAGUGAAAACAACGUGGCCUAUAGCCUUUGGAUGCUAACUUCUUCAAAUACAGAGUACUUCCAAUGCAUUGUGGUGAUUUUAAAGAACAAGUGUGCCUCUGCCAGCGAGGAGACCAUGCCCUAGUCGGUGAGGAAGACAAUGUAGUCAAAGGGGUAUAGAGUGUAAAGUUUCAAGGCAGAGAUCAUGCAAGGCCUUAGGGACUCCAAAGACUUCGUCCCCUACUUAAAACUCAACAGUACAUUUCCAUUUUACUCAAAAAUGAGGGCUUACUUUUAAGGCUUUCACUGGCUCUUUGUAGAGAACAGGUGGUAGGGAGGACAAAACCAGUUGAGUAUCCCGUAGAAAUCAAAACAUAGUCAUGAUUCAGUCCAGAGGGGUGCAUGGGAAUAGAGAAUGGACUGAAACUAGAAUGUUUUGAAGGAAAAAUAGACAACUGCUUUGAUACUCAAGUUAGGGAGACCACUAUGAGGAGAAAGUCAGAAGUUGGGCAAAAGUUUGAGAUCCAUAAGAGCAAAUAGCUGUUAAAAGCAAACUGUAUGAGGUUUAAACUCUCCCCAUAUUCUCUAUGCAGAGUGUAGUGAAGGAGUUAUGUUCUUGUUUUUGUUUUCCUUCCGUGUCAGGUAAAUGGAGGAAGGAUGAGCCAACAGUGUUUGCAAGCAAGUCGUUAUGGGGGAUGGGUCUCCCAAACUCUGUUCAGAAAGGUUUACUGGCAAUUGACACUGGCUGUCAAACGGUAGGACCUGCAUUGAUAUCAGAGUAAAAUAGUGUCAAAACUUGAAGGCCGUCCCUUUUAAAACUCAAGAUGGCGUCUACAGGCAGCUGUGGGUACUGACAGACUCUAGGUGGAGUAGACAAGCCUCUUCUUAGAUGGGAUCUCAAAACCAGAAGACCAACUGCUCUGGAUCCUCUAAAUGCAUGUUGAAGUAGCCAUGGGUGACCUGUGGUGCUGAGGACAGAAGGGAGAGCAAGAGGUAAGUACAGUCAGUGAAGGGAGUGGGGGUGUCCCUGUGGGAUCAGAAGAUUCUUGGAACAACUUGGAAAAACAAGGUGGAAAAUGAUGCUUGGGCUCUAGAGAUGAGGAGUUUGAGGGAGAAGUGAGGAAUGUCCUGGAGUUGCUAGGAAAACUUGCACCCAUCUCUAAACCCAGUAACUUCAGGGAUAUAAGAAGUCCUAAGCAGAGGUGGUACACUCAAAGGGGCAGCCAUGUUUGUUUCCCCAAAAUAACGUCCAGAGGAGUUUGGGGAUCUAAACUCUGCCAGAGGAAUACCAGAAAUCCCCGACCCCCCCCAAUCAAAUGUUUUGGGGCAUCGGGGGGCCUGGAUGGCUCAGUUGGAUACGCGUCUCUUGAUUUCAGCUUAGACCAUGCUUUCCUGGUUAAGAUUGAACCUCUCAUCGGGCCCUGCAGAGCCUGCUUGGAAUUCUGUCUUCCUCUCUGCUCUUCCCUCACUCCUUCAAAAUAAACCUUUAAAAAAAAAAAAAAAAUGCCCCAGGGCAUCAUACUAGGAAUGAUGAGUCCAGACAAAUAGUAAAGAUGGGAUCUAUGAACCUCUUCAGACUCUAUCUUCUUGACCACCACAACUUUAAAACAGUCUCCUUGUGCCUCUUCUGCCUUCUGACUCUUGAGGCUGAUCUAGAGCCUGCAGUUCUAAAUCCCUCCUCCCUACAAGCACAUUCUCACUCACUGUAAAGAAUCUGACUCCAAUUACCUGACUCUUUUAAAAAUACACAAUUGAUGUGAAAACUGACUUCCCCAAUGGUCAUCCCUAAAUUCUCCUCCCUGGAAAUCACUGCACAUGUCCUCUAGAAAUGAGGGUCUGUUCUUCAUCCCUAAUGGAGUUGGUCUGUACCAUGCUAAUAGGGUUUCUCCUUUCCCCCUCUUCUGCUAGGUGAUCUUGUCCUAUAACAUCAGCACUGACCUCCCUAACUCUGAAAAGAGGGACUCCCAGGGAACCAAGGAAAUGGAUGUGUCAUCAGGGAGAAAAUCUCUGGCCACAAAUGCCCAGUGUUUCCUGUUAGAAUCAAAUAUAACCAGACACCAAAGCUUAAGGAGCUGGAGCUAGGAAUCCUUUCACUUGGGAUUGGCUGAUUCCCCCACCUUCUGGACCUGUGGUGUGAGCUUUGACCCUCAUGUAUAUUCUGUCCUCACUAGGAGAGGACUCUGAUAGAAUCCUGUAGAUGAAGUAGUAGCAUCCUACCUAGGGAAGUCCUGUGUUUCUGCAAGAAUCCUUGGUUUUCUUGGCAAGGUCAAAAGGAUUGUGCCUUUUUAGCACUAUGUUGUCUUUAAUUGGCUAACCUGAAAAGUACCUUCGAAUUUCUGAGAUCGCAGGGUCUUAGGGAAAUAAGGUGUGUAGUUUUCUUAGCUUUAUCCAGGUACAUCUUACAUAAAACACAAAGUAUGCUUUGAGUUUGGACACCUGCAUAGACCCAUAAUACCAUCACCCUGAUCAAGGCAAGAGUAUUUCUAUAAGUGUACACACACCAGGCACUAUUGACUGGAUCCUACAGGGAACCAAGGGAAAGUUAUGCAGAGAACAUGGUCUAUGGUGAUCAGUGAUGCUGGCAAGAAGGCGUUAGGGAGGCUGAGUCCACGAGAAAGGGAAAACUCUUGAAAGGGAUAUGUCCAAGGAGGAAGCCUGUGGCCCUGGUAUGGGGUAGUGGAAGCUGGUGGAUAGGGCACAAUCCCCAUAUCUCCUCACAAGGUGCCCAAAUAAACUUGGAAAUGUUGAGGCUAAGAUAGUUCAUGUCCACACUAUAGUGUGGUAAAGAUGGCCUUCUGGUGAGGACAACAGGCCACUUCCUCUAGGGUUACAGCUGGCUGGACUCCACUCCUAGGGCACUGGCACCACCACUGGUGUCAGGUGAAACAGGAUUCUUGGUGGUCCUCUGGAUGAACACCCAAUGCUGCUGGGAUUCCUGGCCACACAAGGCCAAGUUUGUCUUCUGAAGACUGCAUCUGGCCUAGAUCAAAAGACCCAAUCCCCGAGACAUCCCUUUACCAGCUCCUCCCUUAAGUUUAAGGGACCUUAACAGGUCUCAGCAGGUGGUGGACCCCCAGCACAAUAUGGAGGAUGAAGUCUGGCAUUAAGCUCUCCAAACCCUUUCCAACCAGGCUGAGGUGGUGAGAGUCUUGAUGGUCCUGUGUGAACUAAAGAAAGCUAUUAUUACCCCCUGUGAUCAAAGUUCAAACUGGGACCAGAGAUGGACCAGUCAGGAAUAAUCCUCAGACUCCAUCCAAUAACCUGGUAAAGCUUGUCUUCCAGACCUGAAAUGGCUUGGUCUUAAAUCUUUGUGUUGUACUGGCAUUCUGCUGUGAAGAAUCUUGUGAUUGCUUAUGUGUCAGAUGACCUCCAGCUUAUGACCAUUUGGCCACUGGAAAGUUCUAGGCACUUGGUGACCCCUCUCUAGGCAUUUAUUGCUACCAGGACCCAGGCACAAGAGUUGACUUUCAAACUAGUGGGAGUGGACGUGUUGCUUCUCCAGGAAUCUGUUGUGAUCAUCCAGCUGGGGCUUUUCAGCAGCUCCACACCAUAAUUCUCUGCCAUUGAUCCUUCCUGUGUUAAGUCUCUUGAGAUGUAAAGACUACGUGGCCUGGCAGCUCCUAUCCUGGCCUGGGUGAAACACAGCCUCAUUGCUGUGUGUGUCCAGCUCUGAAAUAGCUAUAAGGGUAAACUGUUCCAUGGAUCCAAGCAGCAUCCUCAAAUGUGCAGCCUUCCAAUUCUAAAGGUGCCCAUGAGGCAAUGCUUCUUCAUGUUAGCACAAAGACCGUAACUUGCCCUCCUCUUGAAGUCAUCCUGACAAGUUCCAGAUCCCUGAACACCGCAAUGACCCUGAGUCAUGCCUUUCCCUAGAGAAUCCUGUGUGCUUGAAGCAACCCUAGACUUUAUCCCCCCUAACCCCAAGAAGCAGGGUCCCCUAGCUUCACAUGGACAAAGUGGAGCUCUGAUCUGCUUAGCCAGGUGACCUCUUACUAGCCAGAGGCACUAGCUCCAUGAACUCAAUUUGCUUGGGAAAGCCAUUGCCUAGAGUUGGGUUAAUGGUCAGGGUCCGUUCUGGGCCUCCCUUGCUUUGACAGGGCCUCCAAGGACGUGGCUAUUCUGCCUGGCACUGUUCUGGGCCCUCUCCUUUGGAGUAGAUGAGGGCAACAGUGUUAUACUAAGUGCUAUACUUGUCGUUGGGGCUGUAACCAAGACCGUGACUGGAUGCCAGUGCUCAGGCUAGAUGUUCUGCCCAAUGAGAUCUCUCCUUGACUAGAUGGUCAGCCUUAACUCCUGAAGGGACUUUCCUAGAAGUUUUUCCUGGGAUACUUCCAUGUGGAAAUCACAUAGAACCUAGAAGCUGGAGGCUGACCCAGGUUCCUGCAUGUUGCUGGAGUAGGGGCACCUCAAUGAUGUCAAAGUGGGUCCUGUUUCCAGACUCCUUGGUUCUGUUGACCCAAUCUGAACAGAGAAAAUAGAUUAUUUCUACUGACCUACAAGUUCAUGAAUUCCUUCCUCUGUCCUCCAUUCUACUAGAGUCCAGUGAAUUUUAACUUUUCUUGUUCUAGAACUGAAAUAUAGGUCUAUCUUCUAACAAUCUUAUAAUUCUAAUCUGUGUUCUCAGUGUUCCUCUUGUCAGUCUUUCCCUUCAAGCUGAAGUUUUCCUGGUCCUCAGGAGUAAUUUUGGGCUGUACUCCGAGAAAUCAGGCUUACAAAAUGCAAGCCUAUUCUCCCAUUUGAGCAGGUAGUCAACCUGUCUGUUCAGAACACACAUCCCUUUCAUGAGCUGUGGAUCAAAUGUCAAUUCGGCUAAUGAAGCUCCUGCAGAGCUAUUCUAGUCGAUCCCACCUGUGUUGCCCAGAUGACAAGACUCUCCCAGGCAUCCCCUCUGCACCAGCUGGGAAGGGGGAGGUGGGCUGCUGCCCACAGGCUCUGGGAGAGGGGCACCUCUUUCUCACUGCAGGGAGUAGAAAAGCAACUUCCUCCCAUGAACUCUGCUAUAAUAAUGCUCGUUACAGUUGGGAAAAGGCUUGAUUUUAUUUUUCUCACCCCAAGAACUGGUAGGUGUGAUUAAAGCAUUCUUGUCAUGUUGGGUGCCCUUUUUCCAGGCUUCUGGCUGGAGAGAAUAGCUGAUGAUCCUUGGUUAUUUCUUGUCUGUGCCUGUUGGCAUUUCCUGGCUGCAGCACUCCCCAGUGUCCAGGCAAGGGCAUCUAGGAGCUCAGACAACAACCCAGGAAACUCUCAGCUGGGUUGUUGUUGGCAUCCCAAGGUCUCCAGCCAGUAUGCCUUCUCUGCUACUUCCAGCAUCUUGUCAGUGGCUUACUCGGGGAGCCGGCCAUUUUUAGGCAAAACUGUGAACUCCAGCUGCUGACUGCAGGGAAUGGACUCCUCAAGACCACGAAAGCACACCAGUUUGUACUUCCCCCAACUACUAUACUUCAGUAUUGCUUAGCAGCCAAAUAAAUGCUUGUUUAUCUUCAUCCUUUGACUUCUGGACCUUAUGCCUAUCUUACGCUUAAGCAGAAACAAAGCAAUCCUGGGUGUGUUUUCUCAGACUCUGACUACUGCUGGGAAUAUAACAACAUGUUUUAAUCCCCUCUUAUUCACCCAUGAAUGAACAAGUGAACUUCCCAUUCUGUAGGGAAACAAUUGGGCAGACGAGGUCAAAGUUUGUCUUACAUACAGCCUAGGUGAGGAGGACACCUGCCACAUGGGAACAGAAUCGGGGGAUGCAUGAGGCAGGCUCUGUAAUGAAUAAAAGAUGGGUGUCCCCUGGUUUCCAUGGAGGAUGUUGUUCGCUUGUCUGAAUAAUACCAUGGUCUGGCAGAGAACUGAAACCUGCCACUCAAGGAUAAGCAGGGGUUGUUCCUGGUCCUCCCUUAAGGGUUGUUUGGCUGGACCCCUUCUCCACGGAGGCAGAGUCCAGUAGGGAAACUUGUGGUAAGGCCCUCCUGGCUUCCCCAGAAAACAAGGCAGCACCUAAUCCUGAGCCUCCAUCUCAGGCCUUAAACAACACUGGAGGAACCAUCAUCUUUAUCCUUCUGCAGCCAAUGUGAUAGCUCCUCCUUCAAACACCUCAGAAGGCAAACUUCCUUCAAUGGAUUCCUUCUUCUAGUCCUUCAGUUACCCUCACAUUAACACCAUCUCCAAUUCUACAACCUCUUACCAACAUUCGGGACUGCUGCUGAGUUUAUUCCAACUCUAUCAGCUAAGCCCAGCUCAUCAGGAAUAUAUGCUAGUAGUGGGUAAGGUUUGAAGGAGCCAGACGAUUGCAGAUGGAGUUCUUGCUUUGCAAGAGUGGCAUAAUCUAAAGACCCUGCCUACCUGGUGGGUCAAGAUCUAGGCUAAGUCCGUGAUAAAUGAUACUUGCACUCCCAAUACAUGGGUGUCCAACCUGGGUACUAUGCUGAUACCAGGCUUCUAUCUGCCUGCCUCCCACCCCAAGUAUUAACCCUUUGUAUUGGAGCUGAAAUAAUACACUUAAAACCACCUCCCCUCCAGUAGACAUCCUUACCUAAUAGACCUCCAGAAACCUCCAAAAUGAGGCAAGCAGGGGGCUACUCAGGAGAACUUCCAAGAGCAAGGUUUCCUCCUGUUGCAUCCUGUGCAAGCUUGAAUUCCCAUGGUAAGACUAAUACAGAUGGAAAGUGGCCAGUAAUUUUUGUCACCCCGGUGGUAGAGGCUCUUUUUAGAGGCCCCAAAAACCUAAAUUCACUAGCCAUAGUUGUGGUGCAUAAUUUCAUUGUACUUGAUUCUUAGCUGGGCAAGAAGGAACUGGAGGCUAGCACAAACACCCUUCUUGCUGGAACUACGUAGACAUGGUCAAGAACAAGUCUGUCAGUUAAAAGAAAAACCAUCUGGUUCUCCAUAACCGACCCAGUUGGAUUUUUGGAUGUGUUUUCGACAUGAGCAGCACUUAGUAACCUAGUCUCUAGCUACCAGGCCUGAUAAGAACUAAUAAGCCUUCUGUUUCCAGUAAUUUGCUAUUACAGUUGGAUUAUGAAUCCUACCCAGAGUCCUUAAAGCAACUGUACAUCUGUUAAGUCAGAUGUUUCUAUAUCUUAGACUAAAGUCACUCCUACUCCUUUAAUUGCCUGACUACAGACUGCACUCCCAGGAAAACUUUCUAAUUGGAAUUGCUGCAAUGGUUAGGAUCUGGAUGGUCUUACUUCUCCUGCCCUUGGCCAAAGGAGGUCAACAAGAGGGAGAGGGAUGGAAAGAAUCCUGAUCGUUCUAGUUGUGCUACCUGUUGAAAGCUAGUAGUUUUACAGAAUAACAAGAUUAAACCUGUCACUUCACAACAAUGAUAAAAUGAGGCAUUAAUAAGAUCCAUCUGUAGUUGGCCACACACCCACAAAAAACAGGCGCAAAAUGCCAGUGACUAGCGAUCCUUAACAAGCAUGGUUUUUCUCUGAAUCUUGUAUUUCUGUCCUAGUUCACUGUUGUGUUCUCCAUAAGAUGUUGAGAAAUGGUCUGAGGAGGAUGGAUUUUUAUUAGGCCUAGAACCUGGGUAAAGAAAAGGAGGAAGGACUAGGUAGAGAAAACAGAACUUGGGCUCAAGUCCAAAGCCUUGGAUCAAACUGGCCAGGUCUUCUGUACUCUCACCUGUUGGUCACUGGGUGUUAACACUAAGAAGGGGAUGACUUGUGGGGAAAGUGGCUCAAAUAUGGCAGACCCUGAAGGAGCUGGCAGCUGGAAGUAGCUGGGUAGCCUCCCUCACCACAGGUGGGCAGCAAGACCCUAUUUAGGAAGGGACCUCUAUAUUCAUGAUGAUACUUGAGCUCAUGGAGCUGACCAGUCUGCACUGGCUAGAGAACAGCUUCUUAGACUAGUAAAUCCUAAGAUCAACUCCAUCUUUCUCAAUCAGUCUAAAUACCUGACUUUAGGAAGAGGCUUCCAUUUGGUGUGGUCUUAGUUUAUGGCUUCAAGAUGAAAUUCCUACAAGAGGUCUUGAGCAAACUAGUAAAAUCCAUUGGGCAUGCUGAAGUAGGGCGAUGUGCCAAGACCAGAGAAGCUACAGAAUGCAGGUCUUUGGCUAGACUGCGGUUCCCCAAGGGAUGGCCGAGACUUGGAGUAAUAGCUCCUGUUAGAUUAUAAGGUUAAGGGACUUAGAGGUAUUGGUGAAGACGAGGAAUCCACUGGUAGAAGGAUCUUGACAAAAAGGCAAGUGAAAGUCAGAAGCUGGUGUGAAAUGAUAAAUGAUCCAGGAAAAAAACAAAUUCUCUUGCUCUCCAGUACCCUGAUCUGUAUGGGAGACAGAAGGUGGAGGAGAGCAGACUUGACAUUUCUGGGGCCAGUGAUGACUUUAUGAGCAGGGUAUGGGCUACUGGUGCAGGCAUUUACCAAAAUGGAUUAAACAGCACACUUAAGACCUGUGCAUCUCUGCAUUCGUGGCUUUUAUUUCAAAGGGAAAAAGCUGGAAACCACUAUUGAACUGGAAUAAGCAUAUUAAUCUGAUGUACUUAAGGCAAAGGCAGCUGAUACCUGUAACUCUGAAAUACAUCAAAAGUUAGAUACACAACAAAUAUCAAAAUGUUAACCAUAAUAACUAGAGGGGCAAUAUAGAAUUUCAACUCUUCUGUACAUCCAAGUUCUUAAUACUAAAAGGGGUAAAAACAAAAAAUCCUGAAAGUCCAAAGCUGGUGACCUAAUCCCUUCUGCAUUAGCAUGACUUCACGUGCAGAAAAACAAGAUCUUGCAGGACCUCCCAUGGUUCCUCUUUUCCAAUGGAUUAUAUUAACCCAUACGUACUACACUGCUGCUGGAAAUAGAAGAAAAAUCCUCCAUCACCAUAGGACCUUCUAGAUAAAAUUAAAAUAGGCAAUUAAUUGGCAAGUACUUCAUAGACCUUGUGUCUUAAUUGUCACCGCAGACCUAGAGGGAGUACUCUGAAACAGCACCUUCCUCACGUGGACACUUAAGCCUUAAAUUACUCUAAAGACUUCAACUAAAAAUCCAUCUGUAGGAUUCAAUUACUGGAUAAAUCUGGAGUUAGGUGCAAUUUUGUCUCGGUAACAGAUCCUUUAUUUCUAAGUUAUAAAGAAUUUGCUCAGAACCUCUCAAUUGAUCACCAUACUCCUUUAAAUUCAAAUAAGAUUGCAAAUUAGCAUAACAUGAAGUAGAAAAACAUCCUAGGUUCAUUAGGGUCAGGAUAUGGAAAGUUCCCGUACUUUUAUGUUGGUCUAGCUUACCACUUUCCUGUAAACCUCUCAGACGUGAUCAUGCUAAUAACCUGUAGCAAAAAGGAAAACUUGAUCAGUGCUAAACAGAAAAACUGACGUGCAUACCUUGCAGUAGAAAUCAGUAUUGCACAUGACCAUGAACUGAAACUGUAAAUCGCCAAAACAAACUUGGAAGUGAAAGACCAGUGGGUGUGUAGCGAGGCCUGGCCUUGGGCACAAGGACCCAAGGCAAGGGUUCCGCUAACCUGGCUAAAGUGUCCUCUCUGCCACCAUGAUGUUUCUACCAAACUUUUUAAACUUAAAUGGGACACCUGGGUCUGUGGGCUUUCUCCAUUCUGAUUAGUGUUGAAAGAAACCAGCUCACCUGUGAAAGUAGAGCCUUCUGUGUGUAGUUUUAGCUAAACUUCUAAGGACUGGUUUCUUUAUAAUGAGAAACUUCUAAGAGGCCUCAAGUAUGAGAAAACCAUAGAGUUGGUGAAGGAGGCACAUGUUGGGUGCUGAUCUCCAAGUUCAUGUUCAGUCCUAAUUGAAUGAUUCUGCUAGGGCUUCUGAAAUAACAGCACAUUCUGAAUGCUGCACAUUCUCCAUAUUCCUGCUAAGGUUUGGGGCUGUAAAACCUAAGAUAAGGGCAUUCUGUGGUUCUAGGAUAAAUGGUGGGGGCUAAAUACUCGACCUGCCCAAAAGCCUGGUUUCCUGGUCUUGGGCUAAGGUUGAAAAGGCCCCAACACAGCUAGGAUUAGCCUUAACCUGGAUGCUACUUGCAGAAAGAUAGGGGAGGAGAGGGAAUAUGUGAAUGGCUAGUCUGGUUGCAGGAAUCCAAUUCCUGAGCCUCCUAAACCCUCUAUGUCCACAUGACACACUAACUGGGCACCUCUGCCUAUAGUUACCAAAAGCCAAAUUCCUCAGCUUGAUAAGAAAGCCAGUCAUGGGUCAUGGAGCACCAAGCUUCGUAAAAACUAGGCUCUUCUGGGAGGUUGCUUCUCCCCUGGUGGAGUAGGCUCCAUGAUCCUUUAAUUCUUGCUCCUGGGAAUCUUCUGGCCUGACGUGAAGCUGGGUUCAGAAGCCAGCAUCUCCUGGGUAUUGCAGCAGGCUCUUCUGGAGCGUGGUGCUGAUUUCUACCCCCUGCCUGGGCUCUGCAGGUGGGACAGUCUUGGCUUCCUUAGUUCCUUGGCUGUGAAGGCCUUACCAUGCAUACCACUCUUCUGAUGAGAGUGAUCAGAUUUCUACGGUGCAGUCCAGGGGAACCAGGCUAAAAAAAAUCAGCUAAUGUGUGCCUACACGAGCCAGGAAAGUACACGUAGGACCAGAUCCUGAAGAUGCUUGAUCAAAGGACUUGAAUUCACAUGGGAUGAGGGAGUUCGUCAACUUGGAGCCACUUUCUUUGAAUAUACUCCAAGACCUCAUGGGACAGUAGAAACUCAUUGGACAGAACUUGCUCAACACAGAUCUCCUUGCGCUUCUAAGUGAAAUGCUUGUUAUCCUGGCAACAGGAAAAGGGACCAAGGGGGUCCAGUGAAGUAAGAAUGUUGGGGGACCAUAUAUUAUGACCCUGGAAAUUGAAUGGAAGAUCAUACCCAUGUGAAGGCCUAGAGGUAAACGCCAUCAAGAACCCAUUGGUGAGAGGGACACAGCAACCCCAAGUACAAAGAUGGCUUCUUGCAAGAUUGGGCUGUGGGCAGGAGGAGCGGUUCAUGGAAUCUGGCUCGCUCACUAGCAAUAGAUUAUUCCACACCCCUAUACUGACCCAAACAAUAGAAGUCCAAGAACACUUAACUGUUGUAGCCAAGAAACCAUGACUUUCAAAGAACUGUGGAGAUGAUUAAGAGAAAAUGUCAGAUACUAAGCGGUACAUCUGGCUGAAUAUCUAGUUUUCCCUGUGCAUAGGAUCGAAAGCAAGAAUGAGGAGCAAGGGACACAAUAGUUGGAGUCAAGAUCUCCUGGCCCAAUUCCUGGACCUGACCAUAUGCAUUCAGUUUUCUCCCAGGACUGUGCAAAAUUACCUGUUCUUCUUAAACUACAGACUGUCAAUGUGAAUUUCUUGACUUUCUGCAGGAUGUUCUGCUAGUUCAGUGUCCUGCUAAUCAUGCAUGAUGAGUAAGAAGUAGUUAAUAUGCAGGAGGCCUAGGUAUAUUGUUCCAACCCAUAUACUGGAUGACCUGAAAGAAACUUCCAGCUUUGUGUGAGAUUGUGAACAGGAAAGGACACUACAAGGGGCUUAGGCUGUAGAGCAAAUGGCCUUGACAUUACACUUGGGCUACAUAAUCAGGCAGACUCCAGGGUGAUGAAGAUGUCAGUGGUAGGGAAAGGGGGCAUGGUGGAGUUCACAGAAACCUGCCAUGAGAAAAUCACAUGGUCGGUCCCCAAGGUUCUACAGGUACACCAUCUGCAUCUAGCCCUGCAGAGAACUAUCUUAAAGCAAAAUAAUGGCCUAUCGUAUGUGAAGCUGAAGCACCAGUUUCACAAUGACGUAAGGAUGGGUGCCACCCUUCAGGAUUAAUAGAACUCUCUAUGGUGUUCUACCCCAAUAGAAACAACUUAGAAACCAAGGGGGGUGGAAAUAAGUCACGCCUAUUUCCAUCAUUCCUAGUGACCCAUGGGGGACUUUGUCUUUACCAUCUCAAAUUCAGCCCUGCAUGGAUGGAGGCUCCAGCCUCAAGAGAGGGGCUUGGGGAAAAGGGUGAGAGAAUGGUUCAUUCCUGCCAGGGAACACAGCAAGUUUCCCCUUGAGCCAUGAGAUACCACUGCAGCCCAGGCACUUUGAAUUCCUUGCAUCCUGGAGCCACAGGCAAGAAAGGCCACCAUUCCAAAAGGGAUGGCUGACCCUGGCUGAUCAUGUGGAGGUAUGGAGCUGCUAGUAUAUAAGGAGGGGAGAGAGUACUCAAGUGAUCCAAUCGGAUGCUUCCUGGUAUUCCCUUUCCCAGUUAUGACUAUGAAGUAUAGCAACCCAGCCUGAGAAGGGUAGGUCUACUGGGGACUCAGACACUCUGGGGGUGAGGGUUAAUUCUCUCCUCCUAAGCCAAUGAGGGCAGCAAAAGUGAAUGGCUGAGGGUCAUGGAGUUCCUUCAAUGGAGAUGGGAGAAGGAGACUGAGUCCUGGGACCAAAUGCAGGAACGGUAGCUGUGCAUCACCUUGCUCUAGCCCUUUGCUGAGUUCAGGAAGGAGGAGGGUCCUACCAAGGGCCAGGAAGAGCUGAUCCCCAAAACUCAGACCAUAGAGGUAUCCCUCUGCCCUAUACUCGAUCUGCUUCAGACCAUGGCCAAUGUGAUUCAGAUUUCUGGAAGAACUUCUGCCUGCCAGUCCACAAGUUCUCCAGGAGUGAUGCUCAUGUCUUCCUUGGAAGGGUAUUGAUCCACUCUUGAGAAACGUGGAGGCUCCUGACUCCCCAUCAACAAGAUGUCUAUCCCUUAGCUGAUCCACAGAAAUGAUGCCAAUCUGUCCCACAGAGUCUUAACACAGCGUUUAACAAAACGUAUGUUGGUGCUUUAGUAUCAGAAGAGGUGCUUCCAUCGAAAGAUAAUUCAGUGGCCCUGAAAAUGAAGUAGAUUGAUGGAAUACUGAAGAAUUGGAUACUUGGAGCAAAGGGCAAAUAGAUGGACUUCUUUAGAGUUGCUUUUCUCAGGCAUCCCACAAUUUGAAAAGCUGCCUUCCUGUGGCAUCUGAGCAUCUGAUCCUAGCUAUAAGAAUUAGAUAUGGAAGUCACCAGUGAGUGGAUUUGAACUGCUCAUUCUCAGGAGGACAGUAAUAUAAGGAAACAAGUCUUCUAAAUUACACUUUCCCCCUGUACUUGCACUGAAAGUAACGGAUCCCACAGAGGACAACACAUGCCUCCGAAUGUGGGUAGCCCUUACAAUGGAGGGGGAAGGUCCCCUGUGAUCAUUAGAACAGGAGACCCUUUGUGGGAUCAGGUGCUCAACAACUCCCCUGCCACUAGUGGAGGGUGGAGCUUCCUGAUGCUUGCAUUGUCAGAUCUCCUUGUCCUGGAACAACCCGUAUACCAGGCUCCAUGGGCACAGACCAAGCCCAGAAGGUACUACAAAUAAAGGAUUACUGGGGUCAAAGAAAGCCCUCCAGGCAGAAAAAGGCCAGUGGAAAUUGGUACCAAGACUUUAGCAGGAAACUGCUCAGAGGAACUUAAAAUGGAGACCUUGUACAUCCUAUGUGUCUGACAGACGUACAGUGACGUUAUUUUAUCAUAGGACUUUUUCACUACCCCAAAAAUCCCUGUGAUCCACCAACCAUGGACCCCCUGAAAUAAACUAUGAACUUGACGACCUUAAAACCUCACUGGGUAUUACAAGCAUACAACCCUGAUGGGGGAAGUUGAUAAUGGAGGAGCCUAUGUGCAGGUGAGGUGGGAGUUAUAUAGAAAACCUCUGCCUUCCUCUGUUUUGCUAUGUACUUAAAAUUGCUUGAAAUCCCACGUUCCCCUCUGGAGCAUGGCUCUGUCCAUCUUCUAUGUCUGACUGGGGGAUCUCUCUUGGAGUUAAGUCUACAUAUGGAACCUCUUAAGAUCACCCCCUGAGCUCUCCAGAAUCCCAUGCCGGGGGGGGGGGGGGUGUCUGCUGUUCCAGGGCUAGACUCAUGGCUGCAGGUGUACCAUGAGCACAUUAGUUGAUCACUGUGGGGUUAACUGCCUUCUGAAGGGAGAGCUGCUUCAUGGUUACUCACAAUGUGAACACAUUGUACUUGAGACUCCAUAGAAUGACUUAUUCUAGGGAUAUAGAGUGUGCUGGUGAUAAUCUUGUAUGAACUCCAGGAUUUUUCAACCCUCUCCUUACUACUUUGACAAGUUGGCCUGUAGAAGGUUGACCUACUUUCACACCUGGUUGAAACACCAUGACCAAUGGGGUAUGGUAUCUGGAUUCCUAAAGAAGAUACUGAAGUAUGGUGUCAAGCUUCACAUGGGAUAAACCCUUCACCUACAAGGAGAUGGCAGACAACAGGCUGACCAAUUCUUCCAUGGGCUACUCAAAGUGCAAUCUCUUUGUGACUUUUCUGGACCUGGUGAACAAAUCUAACUUAACACCUAUGUCAACAUGUAGUUAUGUGACCGGGUAGCUAGAGGGGGCAUGCACAGUUACCCGUCACUUCACAUCCUUUUCUCUGGGCAGAGGAGUCUACCCAGACUGGGUCUAACUGUAGACCUAACCAUUUUGAGCAAAUGGGGGAACUCCAGGGCACAGAUAGCCACUAGAAGCCCAGCAUAGGGUAGAGAUGCAGAAUCCUUGGCAGAGUCUGCCUAGGAAAGCUACCCACUCUGAUCAAAUACUGGGGUGACUCCUAAAAUUACUACUGGAGGCUGUCCAAGGGUUCUCCUUGCAGGUGAACACCUUCCUCCUUAAAGACUCAAGGCAUGUACUCUGGCUGCCCUAGUCCUCACCUGUGCCAUACAGGUGUUCUUGAUAUGUGUAGAGCAGCUUCCCAGCUCUAGAAGGCAAACUUAGAAAUGAGAGGUUGGAGUGAACUUGUGCCCCUUACUGUGGGUGGUCUUGGGCCACAACUGUACACAUGCUUUUGCUCCUCCACCAUCCAUUCUAAAUCCUCUCCUCCUCAUACCUCCCCUGGUCUCAGUGACUGAUUUGAUGCGACUCAAACCCUCCUUAAGGUUCUGAGCCCCUGAUAAAUCUCAGGCUGGUGUUUCUGUACUAGUCACCCUUGGUUGAGAGAGCACCAUGAAUGGAGUAUGAUGUGUCCAAGAGGACUAGUCAAUGUCAUGGAUCCUCCAUUCUGCCUGGUGUCACAGAAACCCUACUAUGUCUUGAUCAGAGCCAAUGCCUCUACCAGGAUAGUGACCCUUCUUGCCUGCUGGUUCUGGACACAGGGAGCCCAAAAUACCCGGUAACCAUUAUGACUGAAAGGUCAACAAGACCCUUUGGCCGAGGAACAUAACCUAGUCCUUGAGGAAUGUAACCUAGUCUAACCCUGUAGAGGCAAGAGUUGCAGGGACAGGAAGCACAGUCUCCCAGCAGGUCAUUGGGAGUUAUGGCAAGUGGCGGCCUCUGCUGUUUUAACCCCUUGGUUCCUGUACCUGUGUCCCUUCCACUGGAGACCAAGCACCCUAGGGACCUGUUUCUGUGCAUCCUGGAGGAUGGUGCCUCUCCUUGCAGAGGAUUGCCUCUGAGCUGGUGCUUCAGCUAUGCCUCCAGGAGGCUAUUCCAACACUCUCAGGCCAGCACCCUUUUAAAGGCACAUCUAGGAUGCAGCCACUAUAUCCAAGAGUCUCUCCAUCAUUGUCCCUCAUAGGAGAAACCUUAGACACAGCCAAGUCCCCAAGGUAGCUCACGAUAUAUAUAUUUUUUUUAAUGUUUAUGUUUGAGACCGAGCAUGAACGGGAGAGGGUCAGAGAGAGGGAGACACAGAAUCUGAAACAGGCUCCAGGCUCUGAGUUGUCAUCACAGAGCCCAAGGCGGGGCUUGAACUCGUGGACCAUGAGAUGACCUGAGCUGAAGUUGGAUGCUUAAACCGACUGAGCCACCCAGGGACCCCAUUACUUCAAUAUUCUCUACAAGAUAACAAAUCUUCAUCUGCAGAAAAAAUCAUUCUUUGCAAAGCCAUGGUCCCCUCUGAUUCACAUAACUGUGUGCCUAGUGUCUGAGUCCUAGCUUGUGAAUGGAUCCCAGGAAGGCCAUGGCUGAGCUGCUGGAAGCUGCUGGAAAAUGGCAGAGCUCUGUUCUCUCACUGGUGGUCCUGCCUUCUACAGUUUCGCCUCCUGGUUUUAUUGGGGGACCAUUGACCCAUAUUACCAUGUUGUCACUGGAACUCCUUGAUUUUACUGAUGUUAGCAUGAAAUUGAGGUCUUGCUAUGUAUACCCCCACCUCUGCCCCCACCACAUGCUCAACAUCUGUGUUUGGUGGCAGCUUUUCGGAACUUUCUCCCAUGUGCCAUAACAGAAGCACAAAAGGCUCACAGAGCUGGCUCAUUUCUCAGCUGGAACCUUCUCCCCAAGUACAUCCAGUUGAGUCUGUGAUCCUGGCUGACUUUAGGUAUCCUUCAAGAACAAAAUGUCACUCAAAACAGUGACCCACCUUUCUGUUGCCAGUUGAUGUCCAGAGAUGGAAAGCAUGAGUUUUUGGAGCUUCUGAUUAAAGGCCUUUGUACCACAGGCCAAAGGAACUGAUCUUAGAUCACAAAUGGCACUAAGUGUUCCCGGGAAGGUCCCAUGUUUGUUGUUACAUGGUGUUCCCAGUGGAUUCUGACUCAGAGGGCUCCAAUUGUUAUGUUGAUGGGCAUCUGAUUUGAGAAAGGUAGAGCGCCUGAUGGUGUCACCAGCUCUGAAAGCCCUCCUUCAACCACAAGAUGGUCCUAGAAGGCUAGCAGCAGCUCUUCUAGUUCCAAUUAAGCCUGGCCUGAAGGUUCCUUCUUAGGGCGUAGAGGUAUUGACCUGAUUGGAGGUGAAGGUGACCAUGAGGAAAAGGCUACUAGGUCACUCUGGGUGACUAAGGCUACAGCGGAUGGGGGCAAAUUCAUGUGCACUAAGAAUAAAACCCCAAGAGUACUGGUUCUAGGACUAGGACUCUAUCCCUGGGAAUGGUUCUGCUGGCUUCCCAAACCAAUGAUUUCUCUACCAAUAUGCCACAUAAUCUCAUCCAAAUUGGUGUGACAAGGGGCCCUGUCUCCAGAUGCAGUGAACCAUCUGAUGGAGCAGUGGCUCUGAGAAGGAGAAUCGGACUGUUGGAGUAAAGGGAAAAUGCUGCCAUGGAUUAAACCUGAUGGGGCUUACCUGAGAACUUCUGCAGAGGGGGCAAUGCCCUUAACUGCUGUUCCUCUGCAAUCCUUACCAGAGCUUUGGGAUGGCUUGCCUGAAAUAGCUAGAAUCUGACCGCUGACACGAGGGUGAAGUGGAGGGCAGCCUGUUAGGAGGGAAGGGAUACCCUUUAGAAUUGGAGGCUUAGGAGGUGAUAGACUCCUGGGGUGCAGGCUAACCCAGUUCUGUGAGGCCCCUUCUCCUUUCUCUGCCUCAUGUAACCAGUAGGGAGGGGACCCUAGGAUGCUUCUGACUUUUGUGAUACUGGCCAUCUCUUCCCAGAUGGCCCUGAAUUUGGUGACAGUAACCCUGCUCUUUGAUAGAAGUUAAAUGAUUGUCAGUCUCCUUGUAACUAAUGGUCUUUCUUCAACCCAUCCCACCUGCUUUCAGUUUCUGAUGGGUUCCUUUGUGCUGAUGUAGGUGUAGAAGAUGAACGUAUCCUUUGUGAUUAAAAGGAUAAAAGAUUAAGUGAUAGCUCACUUAUUCAAAAUUAACGUUUUCUUGAAAUGUGUUUGAAGUUAUAAUUCCCUGAUGCAACUGUAUGUUACAGGCUAUAAUAACUCCCAUUUCAAAUACAUAAUAAUGCUAUUAAUAAAAACAACCUAAGCCUACUAAAACAUUCCCAGUGUUCGCUGAUCCGUGAGCUACCAUUAGAACAUGGGCCAGUCUGGAAGCACCGAGUCCCAAGCCACAAUGGGUAGAUCCUGCUUGCCCCUUCACUUGCCCUCUCGAGGGCCAGUGAGGCCAGGCUUGAGGGUGUCUCCUACCUCAAAACGCUGUUUAUUUACCUCCUGGGAGGGGUGUGAUCUUCCAAGGUAACAUGAGGAAAGUGUUUGUCACACUUCAUUGGACCCUAGAGCGACAAAACCAUAUGUUUGAGGUUCUUGUAGAAAGUUAGGCUGGGGCAUCCCCAUACCUGGAAUGCCACAGAUUUCUUCCCAAUAGCAAAGAAAAAGGACUCUAAGGUUGGGUUGUGGAGAGGGGCAGGGGUCUAUAUUCCAGUUUAACUUUACAGAGCUAGUGACAGUCCAGUUGGCCACUGGGUCCAGCUGUGGUGCUUAUCUAUUUGGGGCCCAGUCUAGUGGUGCUUCAGAAAGCUGGAGGGCCUGGAAGGAUUCCACACCUCUUCUCUUGGGGCUCUGAUGGGAGUGCUGCAGGAAAUGAUUGGUUUCUUGAUUGCUUACUGAGGAACCUAGUUCAGAACAAGGGACCAGGGAGGACCCUUGGGUUGUGACUCUAACAAAGGCGUAAUUGUCUUGGCUCCAUACUGGGCACUGCAAACUAAGCCCACAUGGAGUUCCUUUGCUGAUGCUGGUCAGGUGCAUGGCUGAAUUCUCACGCAGCCCUGGCCAGGUCUCUUGACAGAUGGCACCUGUAGGAGGAUGGAGCCCAGGCAAGCUUGCUUGUUUAAUAACCAGAAGGCACAUUGAAUUCUGUGCUUAGUGCAGCAUUCCAGAAAAGCCUUCCAAGAGGCUAUACCUUGCUGGUACCUCUGAAUACUUUAGAAUAUGGAGAACUGCUUGGUCUUUCACUUUAUUUUUGAUGCUUUUCCUUGUCCUUUUUCUUGACAAACCCUGGAUUAGAGCUUCUCAAGUCUCCUUGACUCUAGGUGAGUCUUCUGAUUUUUCCCAACCAGGGGGCCAGAGCACUGCAGGACUUCAAGGAGAACCUUCUGAGGGUUGCAGAGUGUCCCAAUUCACAACCUAUCAUCAUGGGCUCUUCUACCAAAGGCUGACAUACCACUUCUGCCUAUUGUCUUCUGUACUUCAAAUUUGAGCCUGAGCCUCAUGCUGCUUCCUCCCCCCGGCUCUGCCCACUCUUCCUUAGAUACUUUCCUCUGAUGGUUUGGUUUUUCCCUUUUGGAUGCUGCUGCUUUUAUCCUUUGCUGGCUCCUUCUUUCUACCAUGUUUUUCUUUAAUGGUUGUGUUCCAUGGGAUUCAAGGCUAUGCAUCCUGAGCAUUCUCUCCCUGGGUGACAGUAAUGGAAGCACCAAUGUGAUCUCUAUGGAUCUCCUCUCUACCUUUCAGACCUGCAGCCUGAAUGUGAGUGGAGCUUCAGACCCACCUAUUCACCUGCAUGUCUGAUGGUCUUCCCAACUCCAUUCACCCAAAUGGAGCUCUGGUUCAUUCUCUCCAAACCUGCUGCUUUCUCCCUCCCUGAUAGCGCUCUGCACCAGGUGGCCAGGUCGGAAUCAUUCUACUUGACUCUUCUCUACCUUGCCAUGUAUGCAAAUCUAACUCAAGUCCAGAUUCUAAUCUUCUCUUGAGUUUGGAUUUAAGCAAAAGAUGGAAGAAUGGAGACCAAUUCAAAACAUCCUUCUUUUUUUCCCUGUUCACCAUAGCAGCCUAACUUAAUCCUCCCUUCUAGGCUUGCUUCCCUCCAACACUUGAUUCUACAUAGAGCUAUGUUCCACUUUAUUUCAUUGUCUGAUAUUUGUCAUGUUUCUAACACUUAGUGGCAAUAGGGGGCACAAAAAGCCGGCGUUCUAUUUGCUUUUCCUCGAGAAACCUGUCUCCCAAGCUCUCUGGCUGCCUCCCUCCAUCCCUAUCCAGCUCUUCUGCCCUCACCCUUGCUCAGCCCAAGCGUAUGGGAAUAUAGGUCCCUAAUGGGACCCAGAGGAGACCAGAAGAGGGUCCUGCCAGAACCACACCCAUUCUAAGAGUCUUCUUUCCUUGGAAAUCUUCCUAUGUCUUUCAUAAAGGGAUCUUGGGAACCGUGUUCCCAGUUUAGGAAGCCAGGGGGAAGUUUGGGUUACUAAUUCAAAAGGAAGAGGGCAAGGAAGAACAAUAGUGGAGGGAUUUGACCUCACCAUGGAAACCAAGUGCCUGGUAGGGAGCUUGGGGAGGAAGAAAUGGGGGGCUGCCCAAUACUAGAGGGGUGGAGACUUCUGCACACGUGGGAGAGCCAAGCAGUGAAGCUUUUCUUCGUGUUCUUUGUUGAACUCCUUAAUUUCCACUUUAAUCUGGCAACUGUUAGACAGCUAAGCCUUGUGUGGUUCUCUAUUGAUGAUAAGCAGUUAUAUUGAUCCCUAAAUGGAGAGUACAGAACAGUCCUUAGAGAUCCUAUUUCCUCUUCAUAGUGAGGAAAAUAGCUGCUCUUCUAGUGCCCAUGGAGAGCCAGGCCCUGUCCUAGGAUGUUAACUCAAUAGUUCUUGUAGUCUGAGGGUUAAAUGGUGACAAGUAUGGGCUCUUAUUAACCAAUAGAGCUCUACGUAAAGAUUCAGUGUAUCCCUUGCUUGAUUCAAAUAAACCUAUAUUGUGACAUAUGCUCUAUAGGAUUGAGAAAGGCAGGAUGAUUCCAGUAAAACAUGGCCUGAAAUUCUUGAUGCUAGUUCUUCCUAGCAGUAAGUAAACAAAUGUGAAGAUUUGGUCUCUAGACCCUUCUGUAGUAACACCACUGCGCUAGCUAUGCCUGGGAUGGAAGUGGUGGAGAGGGCAAAGUGUGGGAUGCUGUUAGUUUCUGCUGAUCCCAGGAAGCCUGUAAACAUGUAAAUAUGUUCAUAAAGUACUGACUGGGCACCAGACGUCAGUGCUAUCACAAGAUGAAAUCGUAACUGUAGACUUGGGGUAUUUGCUCCCGUAACUUAAGUAAAUGUUACUGGUCCAUUAAGACUCAAUUUGACAAACUGAACUUCGGUUAGUCGAUCAUUUUUCUUAGCCAGGUAGGAUGUUCCACUGCGAUUCAUGGUGACAAUACUGAGGUUCUAGACCAUGGGGUGGGGAUGGGUGAGGGUAAUGUAUAAUGUGUCUCCACUCGGAGUAUACUUGAGAGUAUACAGAAGCCAUCAUUCUGCAACAUCACUAGGAGGGGGGAAGUGUGCUUGGAACUCGACUUGCUCAAAGCAACACAGCUAGCUACUGAUGGAGAAAGAAUGGAGUCUGAGGUCUUCCAGUUAGGCUGAAAACCUAUUGUUACUUGAUGCUGGGAAUUAGGGGAGCUAAACUAUAGCCAUAGACUGACCACAGACCUGGUACCUUUGGGCUAAUCUCCAAAAUAUAUGUGCACCAGGCUUUCUGUACCUGUACACAAGAAUGACCACCUGGGGGUUUUAUCUAGUCUCAUUGGAUGGAGUGGAUGUUGUGGCACUAAAUAAUGGAGAGCUGACGAUGUGAUCAGCAUCCUGUUGGAAUGCUAACUGUACUUAAUGGGAAAUGCCACUAACCAGACCUGCUGUGUUAGUCUGGUUUCCCUGGGGAAACGGAAUAGAGCAGAUGAUAAAUUGGCUCUUGUAAUUAUAGAGGUGCACAAGUCCCAAGAUCUGCAGGCUGAGUCAGCAAGCUGCAGACCCAACAGAGCCAAUUGUGUGGUUCCCAUUCAUAGGUCAUCAGGCUUGAGACCCAAGAAGAGCCAAUGUUCCAAUAUCUUAGUUUGAGUCCCAAAUCAGGAAAACUGACUUCUCUGUGUGAAGGCGAUGAGGCGGGAAGAAUUCUUCCUUGGGAGGGAGUCUGUCUUUUUCUACUCAGGUCUUGAACUGUCCUCUGUAGGGUGAGUGACUGACUUGGCAUCCACUCUGCUCUAUUCAGUCCACCAACUCAAGUGUUCAUCUCAUCCCAAGAUGCCCUCACAGGCACACCCAGAAUAACACUUGACUAGAUACCUGGGCACCCAGUGACCCAACCAAGUGGACAUGUAAAAUUAGCCAUCACACAUGCGAAUGCUUCAAGAAUUCUAGAUGAGGUUCUGUGUUCUUAGUUGAAAACCUGAAAUAACACUAGAAAAUGACCCAUACAUACAAAAUCUUAGAAAUUGUGUUUUUUUUACAGAAUAUAGGAUACUGUUCUAUAAAGAGCUCUCAUGGAGUAGAAAAUACUAUAGUCUAACACCUUGCCUGUAGCUUCAUUAGAGGACCUUACUAAAACUCCUCUUAUGGUCACGGCCUGGCUCCUGUCCUGGUUUUAUUGUCUGUGCAGCUAGCCAAGUCCAUUCCCUCAAGGGUGACAUCAUAAGAUGUUUGUCAAAAUGGUGAUUCUCAGUAGUAUACAACCCUCUGCUAGGAUGUCACAGCCUCCCUGCUACUCCGAAAAAUGAAAAGUGGGGCUAAUGUGACUCUUAAUCCCCUCAAAAACUUUUGCUUCCCUUUUCCUCCUUUAUAAAAAUUGGAUAAACUCCAUAACUCUCAGCUAAGGCAGGCCUCUCCCUCCAAGUUUGCUUCCUCCACAGCUAAUGACCAAUACCCCUCUAAUUCACUUGGAAUCAAGACUGGGCUUUGAUAAAAGUCAAGCAGAAGCAAUUUCCCCUUUGGCUUUUCCUGCCUACUUUUCACACCACAUGGGACAUCUGAAGAAAGAACUAACCUCUAAUCUUAAGACAAAACCCAUCCAUAGCCAGGAUCAAAUAUUUUGCUGUGUUUCAGCAGAAUUGUUUAUCCCAUUUUUCCCACUGUGUUUGGAUUCCUCCCAAAUUAGGCCCUAAGAUAGAAUACCCUGAGAAAAAGGUUUGUGAAGUCCUGGCAAAGGAGUUGAGGAGGUGAUCUAGGGAAAGGAAAGCUGUGACCAUAAGAGUUCUAAUAAGCCAGCUUCUACAGGGAUAGACUAGAGAUUAUACCGAUUGCUAGAGCUUUUCUUAAGGGUUAAACACCUACUUCAGAAUUAUUCUGGACUGAGAAAUCUGGGUUAUAUAUGCUCAUGACAUGUUAGUCAUUUAUUAAACAGUGCCUCUGAGAUAUUCUAAGCUUACUGGGUCAUAGAUACAAAGUGGGUUCUGCAGCCCAUGAGUUGCCUCCAAAGAAGAUGGAGCUAUUCUGAUGCAGAGUCCAGGAUGUCAGCCCCAGGGUGCACAAAACUUACAGCAUGGGGAUUCAAGGGGCAUGGUAGAGGAUGGGCCGUAUGUUCCACUAAGUGUUGGAGAUAUUAAGAUGAAGGCUUCUUUAAGUGUCCAUAAUGCAGAGUAGGAGCUGAGAAUAGUGGAUGGUAGAGAGUUAGAUUUUCCUUUUUUUUUUUUCCUUCCUUGAAGUGGUAUCUUAGAAAACCGUUAACACUUGAAUUUUUUCCUAUAAGAUGUAACAGGGCCAGUUCCACCACUCGCCCCUUUCCAUCUUGGAUUAAGCAAACCUUUCAUGGAAAUCCCUUGAAAUCCUAUGUUCAGUCUUGGAUAUAUAGAAACCAGUGGAAACAUCUGGUCUGCCUGCAAGCCUGGUCAGUGUCUUUGCUCAAUCAUCCCAAGAUACAUAUAGGGGGGAGAGAGCGAGCAAGGAGAACAAUCUGUUAAGAACUAAGAGCCAAAAUAUCCCCAAAUGUGAUAAGUGACCUGAAUCUAUUCAUCCAAAAAUUGUAAUGAACUCCAAGGAGGAUAAACCUAAAGAAAUCUACAAGACACGGUAUCAGAUUGUCAAAGGACAAAAAUGGAGUCAACUCAUUAUGUACAAGGGUAUCCUCCACUAAGAUUAACAACUGAAUUCUCAUCAGAUCAUGGAAGCCAGAAGGCUGUGGGGUGAUUGACAGGUUUUUUUUUUUCCUUUUUCCUUUUAGUACUUAAAGAAUUUUAUGUCUGGCAAAACUGUUCUCCCAAAACAGAAAUCAAGAAAUUCCUAGAUAAACAAAAACUGAGACCUUGCCAUACAACAGAUGCUAAAUGGAGUCCUUCAGAUUUAAAGGACACUGGAAAGUAACUCCAAUCCAUGUGAAGAAAUCAUUGGAAUGUGUUUCCUAUUGGGGUGAUGCAAACAUUGUGGAACUAGAUAGUAGUGAUGGUUGCAUAACUUUGGGGAUAUACUGAAUGCUACUGAAUUGUAUAUUUUAAAAUGGUUCAAAUGGUGAAUUUUAGGUUCUAUAAAUCUUAUACCAAUUUUAAAAUGUCUUCUGGGAGACCACCAACUGGAGAACUACUUAGGGCCCAUCUGAUUGAACUGUCGUGCUCCCAAAGGAUCUCAUGUCCACAAAACCAAGGUAUUAGAACUGCAUAAUCUUAUUUCUGGAACAGCUGAGAAUAUGUGGAAGAACAUAGUGGAAGAUGUCUGACAAGACCACGCACACGUAUUUGGUUACCUGGGUGGAACUGGCUUCAACCCUCAACCUUAAUGAGCCAAUAGUAAAGUUUUGGUUCAAUAACCAUAUCUGAUGGUUCUAGUCAUGACCCAUGCUGAGACUGCCUCUGAAAUUCCUGGAUUUUGAAAAACCUGUGUCAGAUGUUUAUCUUUUCAGAUCUCAUUAACUUUGGGAUGUAUGAAUGAAAGGUAGACUUUGGGUAACCUAGUUGCUCCCUCUUUGGGUUGUAUUGGUCUUAGAAGGGGGCUGGACUUUGACAGAAGAGCCAUCUAUUCCUUGGCAGUAAUGGUCUUCUCCUCCACACCCGAACCUCUGAAGAUGAGGUACUUUUUCUUUGCCUUCCAGGUCCUCCAGGAGGAAGUCUCUUUGACCAUCACUACAGCUUCUGUCCUGGAUCAUUCCUGAAAAGCAAACAUCUACCACUCAUGCAGAAUUUCUGGGAUUGCAGAUUCUCUGCCCAGGAUAAUCAAUGCAAGAUAGUUGUUACCAGAAGUCUCCCUUGGAAGCAGAGUUUCAGAAUGAGAUUUUUGAAGAUGAAUCACUCGCCAGCCUAAUGACCAGGAUCCCAUCACUGGAGACAAGUAGAUGACUGGUCAUAAUGGUAAAACUAGAGUGGUGGUUCUCAAUGUGGUCCCCAGGCCAGCAGCAUUGGCAUCUCCUGGGAACCUUCUAGAAAUGCAAAUCUCUGGACUCCAUUCCAGACCUACUGAAUCCAACUCGGGGAGUGGGUCUUAAUCAGUUGGAACAAGCUCUGUAGGUGUUUCAAGUACAUACUGAAAGGCUGACUUCCACCUCUGGAUUUGGAUGGUGGAAGGGGAUGUGUGGUUUUGUGUAAUCUCUAGCAUGUGAGAAAAGUGGGGGGAGGAUGGCUUGAAUGAAUUAAGGAUUGGAACUUGUGGAGUAGGACUGGGCCAAUCCUCUAUGCUAAGUAAGACCCAGUGCAAAAAUUGAAAGGGCCCUAUGGUGAUAGUUUUAAGACUUUCCUCACCUACAGCCCUGGUUUCAUGCAGUGAGCCCAGCUUCUAGAAUUCCGUGGAGUUUAAGACCCAUUACCUGCAUACUGCAGACUCCUGGCCACCUCUUGCUAUUUCCAAUCUUAACACCUGGCAGGACACAGUCUCCUCCCCAGCUUUUCGAUGCUAUGUCACUUCUAAAGCAUGUACUUGCCAUACCCUGUUGACUGUUCAGAAUGUGUUAAAAUAAAAAAUAAAUCAGAA